rnacentral:rRNA from 1 species
AUUGAACGCUGGCGGCAGGCCUAACACAUGCAAGUCGAACGAGUGGCGGACGGGUGAAUAAUGUCUGGAAACUGCCCGUUGGAGGGGGAUAACUACGGGAAACGGUAGCUAAUACCGCAUACCAUCGGAUGUGCCCAGAUGGGAUUAGCUAGUAGGUGGGGUAACGGCUUACCUAGGCGACGAUCCCUAGCUGAUCUGAGGGGAUGACCAGCCACACUGGAACUGAGACACGGGCCAGACUCCUACGGGAGGCAGCAGUGGGGAAUAUUACGCAAUGGGCGCAAGCCUGAUGCAGCCAUGCCGCGUGUAUGAAGAAGGCCUUCGGAUUGUAAAGUACUUUCAGCGGGGAGGCGUUACCCGCAGAGGAAGCACCGGCUAACUCCGUGCCAGCAGCCGCGGUAAUAC